AGCGAAUCCCCAAACCACGUCUCAGUUCGGAUCGGAGUCUGCAACCCGACNCCGUGAAGCUGGAUUCGCUAGUAAUCGCGAAUCAGCAUGUCGCGGUGAAUACGUUCCCGGGCCUUGUACACACCGCCCGUCACACCAUGAGAGUUGGCAAUACCCAACGUACGUGAUCUAACCCGCAAGGGAGGAAGCGUCCUAAGGUAGGGUCAGCGAUUGGGGUGAAGUCGUAACAAGGUAUC
rnacentral:rRNA from 1 species